rnacentral:rRNA from 1 species
AGUAACGCGUGGAUAACCUGCCGUAUACAGGGGGAUAACACUUAGAAAUAGGUGCUAAUACCGCAUAAGCGCACAGCUUUGCAUGAAGCAGUGUGAAAAGCAAAAAGUUAAAACCUUUGACGGUAUACGAUGGAUCCGCGUCUGAUUAGCCAGUUGGCGGGGUAACGGCCCACCAAAGCGACGAUCAGUAGCCGGCCUGAGAGGGCGGACGGCCACAUUGGGACUGAGACACGGCCCAGACUCCUACGGAAGGCAGCAG